rnacentral:rRNA from 2 species
CCUGACGACUAUAGCGAUUCGGAACCACCUGAUCCCAUCCCGAACUCAGCAGUGAAACGAAUCAGCGCCGAUGGUAGUGUGGCUUUUGCUCAUGCGAGAGUAGGUCAUCGUCAGGC